ensembl:ncRNA lncRNA:CR45631 long non-coding RNA:CR45631
GGAUUUUUCGCUAGCAUUUAUGCUUAAAUGCGCUGCAAUUGUUCUUAAAACGCUGCCAACCUGCACGCGAUGAUGGAAAACCUCAACGAUUUCCAUUUUAUUCUGGCCGUUGUUUUUUUUUUUUUUUUUGUUUUGACUGCGGCGGCUGUUGCUCAUAACUUACAAUUACGUGCAGCAUUUUCUUUUGUUUCUUAUUGAUUUUUCGUUUUCUUUUUUAUUUUUGCACUGAGGCGAAGAAACAAAAAAUUGGGUUAAGCUGUUUUGCAUUUGCAGUGAGUCCACACGCGCCCAGAUAGACGAUUCCCACGAUUCUUUCAGCCUCGCAGAUUGGAUAUGGCCUGCAGGAGGAGCAGAAGGAGCAGGAGGAACAGGACCUGCAGACAGUUUGUCUAUAAAGUUCUCCCCCGACCAGAAAAUGAGAACCUCUUGCAUAAAGCCAAUUAAAUUAAGAAAUCUGAUGCAGUCCGACGACAACAACACAAGCAGCAGCAGCAGCAAAACAACGACACAUGGAAUGAACAAAAAAUCGAAAAGAAAAAACAGAAUACAGAAAUGAAAUGAUGCAGAAACGUGAAUCACAGAGGAAUCUCACUCCCACCUCCAGACGAGCAUUUCAGCUCCAUCCGUCUCUGUUGCUCCGUGCGGAUGAGCCUGGCAAUUGGUAUUUUACAACAAACAGAGCUCGCGUUCAGCUUAUUUAACAUAAAUCGAAUGGCUACUGAAAUACACCCGGUCAGCCAGUCAGUUAGC